rnacentral:misc_RNA from 1 species
UUUCCGUAGGUGAACCUGCGGAAGGAUCAUUACCGAGUGAGGGUCUCUCAGGCCCGACCUCCCACCCUGUGCUUUUGUGACCUUGUUGCUUUGGCGGGUCCUCUUCGAUGAGAGGCGGCCGGAAGCUCACCGCUUUGGGCCCGUGCCCGCCAGUAGCCCCCUUAAAUUCUUAAUAAACCUGUCUUCUGAGUCUAGAUAUAAUAAAAAAAACUUUCAACAACGGAUCUCUUGGUUCUG